rnacentral:rRNA from 1 species
GACGAACGCUGGCGGCGUGCUUAACACAUGCAAGUCGAACGGAAAGGCCCUGCUUUUGUGGGGUGCUCGAGUGGCGAACGGGUGAGUAACACGUGAGUAACCUGCCCUUGACUUUGGGAUAACUUCAGGAAACUGGGGCUAAUACCGGAUAGGAGCUCCUGCUGCAUGGUGGGGGUUGGAAAGUUUCGGCGGUUGGGGAUGGACUCGCGGCUUAUCAGCUUGUUGGUGGGGUAGUGGCUUACCAAGGCUUUGACGGGUAGCCGGCCUAAGAGGGUGACCGGCCACAUUGGGACUGAGAUACGGCCCAGACUCCUACGGGAGGCAGCAGUGGGGAAUAUUGCACAAUGGGCGGAAGCCUGAUGCAGCGACGCCGCGUGCGGGAUGACGGCCUUCGGGUUGUAAACCGCUUUCGCAUGUGACGAAGCGUGAGUGACGGUAAUGGGUAAAGAAGCACCGGCUAACUACGUG